rnacentral:rRNA from 1 species
AUUGAACGCUGGCGGCAGGCCUAACACAUGCCAGUCGAGCGGAUGAGUGGAGCUUGCUCCCUGAUUCAGCGGCGGACGGGCGAGUAAUGCCUAGGAAUCUGCCUGUUUGUGGGGGACAAGGUUUCGAAGGAAACGCAAAUACCGCAUAAGCCCAACGGGAGAAAGUGGGGGAGCUUGGGACCUUCCGCCCUCAGAUGAGCCUAGGUCGGAUUAGCUAGUUGGUGAGGUAAAGGCUCACCAAGGCGACGAUCCGUAACUGGUCUGAGAGGAUGAUCAGUCACACUGGAACUGAGACACGGUCCAGACUCCUACGGGAGGCAGCAGUGGGGAAUAUUGGACAAUGGGCGAAAGCCUGAUCCAGCCAUGCCGCGUGUGUGAAGAAGGUCUUCGGAUUGUAAAGCACUUUAAGUUGGGAGGAAGGGCAGUAAGUUAAUACCUUGCUGUUUUGACGUUACCAACAGAAUAAGCACCGGCUAACUUCGUG